UACGUAGGAGGCGAGCGUUGUCCGGAAUUACUGGGCGUAAAGCGUGCGCAGGCGGUGAUGUAAGACAGAUCGUGAAAUCCCCGGGCUCAACCAGGGAACUGGCAUUUGUGACUGCAUCGCUGGAGUACGGCAGAGGGGGAUGGAAUUCCGCGUGUAGCAGUGAAAUGCGUAGAUAUGCGGAGGAACCACCGAUGGCGAAGGCAAUCCCCUGGGCCUGUACUGACGCUCAUGCACGAAAGCGUGGGGAGCAAACAGG
rnacentral:rRNA from 1 species